rnacentral:rRNA from 1 species
CCUACGGGUGGCAGCAGUGGGGGAUAUUGCACAAUGGGGGAAACCCUGAUGCAGCGACGCCGCGUGGGUGAAGAAGUAUUUCGGUAUGUAAAGCCCUAUCAGCAGGGAAGAAAGAAGACGGUACCUGACUAAGAAGCCCCGGCUAACUACGUGCCAGCAGCCGCGGUAAUACGUAGGGGGCGAGCGUUAUCCGGAUUCACUGGGUGUAAAGGGAGCGUAGACGGCCGUGCAAGCCAGGAGUGAAAGCCCGGGGCCCAACCCCGGGACUGCUCUUGGAACUGUGCGGCUGGAGUGCGGGAGGGGCAGGCGGAAUUCCUGGUGUAGCGGUGAAAUGCGGAGAGAUCAGGAGGAACACCGGCGGCGAAGGCGGCCUGCUGGACCGCGACUGACGUUGAGGCUCGAAAGCGUGGGGAGCGAACAGGAUUAGAGACCCGAGUAGUC